rnacentral:sRNA from 1 species
UAAGGGAAUUAGAAGUAAAGGUGGUCGUUUUACAUUUGGAGUCUUUGUUUUUCCUGAAAUAAAAUUAGAAAUCUGUUUUUCUGGUUUUCAAAAUGUUUUCUUUUCUCCUUAUUCAGAAAUCUCUACCCCAAAUUUGCGUCACCCUGGGCAUCUUCACCUUGUCGACCUCAAGACAUAGACUUCCAUGUUCCAUCUGAGUACUUAACGAACAUUCACAUUAGGGAUAAGCUGGCUGCAAUAAAACUUGGCCGAUAUGGUGAAGACCUUCUUUUCUAUCUCUAUUACAUGAACGGAGGAGACGUAUUACAACUUUUAGCUGCAGUGGAGCUUUUUAACCGUGAUUGGAGAUACCACAAAGAAGAACGAGUAUGGAUUACCAGGGCACCAGGCAUGGAGCCAACAAUGAAAACCAAUACCUAUGAGAGGGGAACAUAUUACUUCUUUGACUGUCUUAACUGGAGGAAAGUAGCUAAGGAGUUCCAUCUGGAAUAUGACAAAUUAGAAGAACGGCCUCACCUGCCAUCCACCUUCAACUACAACCCUGCUCA